GAUGAACGCUGGCGGCGUGCUUAACACAUGCAAGUCGAACGGAAAGGCCAGUGCUUGCCCUGGUGCUCGAGUGGCGAACGGGUGAGUAACACGUGGGUGAUCUGCCCUGCACUUUGGGAUAAGCCUGGGAAACUGGGUCUAAUACCAGAUAGGACCAUGCUUUGGAUGGUGUGGUGGAAAGUUUUUUCGGUGUGGGAUGAGCUUGCGGCCUAUCAGCUUGUUGGUGGGGUAAUGGCCUACCAAGGCGUCGACGGGUAGCCGGCCUGAGAGGGUGUACGGCCACAUUGGGACUGAGAUACGGCCCAGACUCCUACGGGAGGCAGCAGUGGGGAAUAUUGCACAAUGGGCGCAAGCCUGAUGCAGCGACGCCGCGGGGGGGAUGAGGGCCUUCGGGUUGUAAACUCCUUUCGCAACUGACGAAGCUUUUUGUGACGGUAGGUUGAGAAGAAGCACCGGCUAACUACGUG
rnacentral:rRNA from 1 species